rnacentral:misc_RNA from 1 species
ACUGGGUCGGAACCAGGCACGAAUAACAUGUAGGAAACUGUAGUGAAACUGUCGGAACCUCAUCGCUGAGAGAAUAGUUCCCCCUGAUAGGCUGGGGGUCACACACUUGUAUUGUGCUGAUUUUCUGGAUAUAUUAGCCAAUAUUUUGACCUAAACACUCCUUGCGAUCAGAAGAGAAGGUGGAGGAGGAGGAGGUAGUCGAAAGUCUUCUCCCUUAGAGGACAAGCCCAGCGGGUAUUCAUUGGCCCGGUCUGUAGGUCCAGUAAGGACAGAGCCCAGCGUACUACACAGAACCCUCUCAGAACCCUCAGGAGGGACCCCAGAGGACGAUAAUUCGGCUGUGUAUGAUCAUCUUGUGACCUGGAAGUUGAAGGAAUCUGUGUCCCCUCGGUCGCCCACCUCCCCCCGGACUCCGGUUAUACCCCAGUAUGAGGAUCCGUGGGACUCCAGGGGCAAACAAGAGCAGUUCAACCAGAUUUGUGAAAAGGCAGAUCUAGUGUCCAGGAAAAGUCAACCUACAUCUCCGACAAGUCCGAACAAACCAAGCCAAAGGAUGGAUGUUUACGAGGAAGCGUGGGAUUCCAACUUCAAACAAAAACAAUUAGAUGCUAAGCUUAUGGAGGCCCGCCGGGCUAGUGAAUCCAAGCCCAAGGGUAGAUACGAGUAUGAGGAGCCCAUGUCCUCAAUCUCCACCAAAAAAUCCUCUCCGGUGAUGAAUCGUAGCUCCCAGAAUUCCGAGCAAGUAUAUUCGUCUAACUACGAACAGCCUUGGGAUUCGAAGCAGAAGGAGUUAGAGGAGAGAUUUAGUCGUGUGGGAAUGUCAGGGGGACAGGUGCCCCCCGGGAGCCCCCCACCCCCAGACUUUGCCCCACCCCCUCCCCCUCAGACGUACGAAGAAGCAUGGGACAUCCGACCACAUUCUAAAAUUAUCUCUCAGGUGUCGUCCACCCCUAAGGCUCCAGAUCACCCACCCCCACGGAGGACCAGCCCCCAACUGUCACAGAGUAUCCCCCCCUCACAGUCCAAAUCUCUGGCUGAGCCCAUCGACCCUAAGCUUCCGCUGGACAUACAGAAAUUUUACCACGGUGGAAUUACCAGAAAGGUUGCCGAGGACAUGCUUCGUGUUCACAAAGAGGGCAGUUAUCUGGUGCGGCGCAGCGAGACCCAGAAAAAUGUCUUCUCCUUGUCACUCAAGGGAGUAGGGGGCAUUCCGAUGCACCUGAGAAUAAGCCUAUCCCAAGGGGAGUAUGUACUCGGAGAGAACAGCCAGCCAUUCCCGACUGUUCCAGAAAUGGUGGCAUAUUACACACGACACGAUUUACCAGUCCAGAAUGCGAGUCAUAUUAAACUGCUUCAUCCGAUCGCUCGACCAUAGCAUGACCUUGACCUAGAUAUUUGACAUUGGUGCUUGUAGUUGUAGAGGUCGUCUGAUUCCUUGACGUAUUGUGGGAGUUGGUGUCACUGCGUGGCGUUAUCAACUCAUCCCUUUCCCUGCCAAAGUGUUUCAUUAUCCUCUUUGUUAGACUUGUUACUGAAUAAGUUUCUUUGUUUUGUAUGUGAUUCAAUUCAUUUUAGAAGAACUCCUGAAAAAAUAUGCAAUGUUUUAGAAUGGACAUAUUUCAGUUUUUUAUAGACUUGUUGAGGAAAACUUUUAACUCAUUUUAUGCAACAAGCUGUGAUCAUCAGUGACUGUAUUUUAUAUGUGUACACCCUAACUUUUAUACCAUUAUUCCUACACUUCCUUUGGAAGAUUGUAGAGUGCAGAAUUCGUUCCUGUAUUAUUGUUCAGUGUGAAUGAAUGUACCUGUGUUUAUCUGGGACCAACAUAGGAAAAUUAUGCAGAGAAUAAAUGAUGGAUCACCAUACUUAAAUGAAGGGGCCAUUAGCCAACAGAGUUUCCGGCCAGCAGAUGUAGUGUUUUCAGUACAACAGGAUGCUAGAGGGAGUUAACAAACUGAACAGUUAAAGUCAAACUGAUGAACAUCAGACUUUUAAACUUUGCCCAUGCAUAAAUCUGUAUAUCACGCUAACCUUAAGGAUGUGCACCAGAAAUAGAGCAAUCAGAAGCAUCUACUUAUAAUUGAUUAUGGAUCUUGCAGAAUUUUUGUAUGAAUUUAACAUCAAACCAAUAAACCUACAUUAAAUUAUUUGGAUAUAUGC